GCUACACAUGCAGUCGAGCGGAACGAGUUAUCUGAACCUUCGGGGAACGAUAACGGCGUCGAGCGGCGGACGGGUGAGUAAUGCCUAGGAAAUUGCCCUGAUGUGGGGGAUAACCAUUGGAAACGAUGGCUAAUACCGCAUGAUGCCUACGGGCCAAAGAGGGGGACCUUCGGGCCUCUCGCGUCAGGAUAUGCCUAGGUGGGAUUAGCUAGUUGGUGAGGUAAGGGCUCACCAAGGCGACGAUCCCUAGCUGGUCUGAGAGGAUGAUCAGCCACACUGGAACUGAGACACGGUCCAGACUCCUACGGGAGGCAGCA
rnacentral:rRNA from 1 species